CCUACGGGUGGCAGCAGUGGGGAAUAUUGCACAAUGGGGGAAACCCUGAUGCAGCGACGCCGCGUGAGUGAAGACGUAAUUCGUUAUGUAAAGCUCUAUCAGCAGGGAAGAAAAUGACGGUACCUGAGUAGGAAGCACCGGCCAACCAAGUGCCAGCGGCCGCGGUACUACGAAGGGGGCAAGCGUUAUCCGGAUUUACUGGGUGUAAAGGGAGCGUAGACGGGAGUGCAAGUCUGGAGUGAAAGGCGGGGGCUCAACCCCCGGACUGCGCUGGAAACUGUACGGCUGGAGUGCAGGAGGGGUAAGUGGAAUUCCUAGUGUAGCGGUGAAAUGCGUAGAUAUUAGGAGGAACACCAGUGGCGAAGGCGGCUUACUGGACUGUAACUGACGUUGAGGCUCGAAAGCGUGGGGAGCGAACAGGAUUAGAUACCCCGGUAGUC
rnacentral:rRNA from 1 species